rnacentral:rRNA from 1 species
UACGUAGGGUGCAAGCGUUGUCCGGAAUUAUUGGGCGUAAAGAGCUCGUAGGCGGUCUGUCGCGUCUGCUGUGAAAACCUGGGGCUUAACCCCGGGCCUGCAGUGGGUACGGGCAGACUAGAGUGUGGUAGGGGAGACUGGAAUUCCUGGUGUAGCGGUGGAAUGCGCAGAUAUCAGGAGGAACACCGGUGGCGAAGGCGGGUCUCUGGGCAGUAACUGACGCUGAGGAGCGAAAGCGUGGGGAGCGAACAGG